CAGCAGCCGCGGUAAUACGAAGGGUGCAAGCGUUAAUCGGAAUUACUGGGCGUAAAGCGCGCGUAGGUGGUUUGGUAAGAUGGAUGUGAAAUCCCCGGGCUCAACCUGGGAACUGCAUCCAUAACUGCCUGACUAGAGUACGGUAGAGGGUGGUGGAAUUUCCUGUGUAGCGGUGAAAUGCGUAGAUAUAGGAAGGAACACCAGUGGCGAAGGCGACCACCUGGACUGAUACUGACACUGAGGUGCGAAAGCGUGGGGAGCAAACAGGAUUAGAUACCCGAGUAGUCCCUGUCUCUUAUAC
rnacentral:rRNA from 1 species